UCCCAUCUCUAGAUCAGCCUUUAUUGUGCAGCGUCAGUCCACUCCAAAAUAGCCCAAACCGUUUCCUUAUUUUCUUUUGGUCAUCCCAGCCCAACAGCCUUUUCCCAGCCCUCUCUCCUCAAUCCCAACCCAACCCCUUUUCCUUCACGCCUGUCCUUCGAACCCCUACGCGCUUCACGCGAGAAUGCGCGAGAGCGAGUUUACAUCAAGGAAACGACGUUUCGCUAGACGACAGCCAUAACAGCUCCGAGCGGUACUCUCUCCCAUUAAAAUACACGGAAGAAUAGGCGUGUUUGCUUUUCCGUAUUUUCGCUUUUUUUUAGUACUGCCACAGCAACGCUGCAAGACGCUUUCCCCUCUUUGAAGCUUGGAUAUUGCUCCACGUCAAACAUCAAGGACGCCCUCUCAAUCAAAGCCCUCCAUCUUUGUCCUCUCACCCUAAUUUCGCGGGAUUUGCUGUGAUUCCGCCUCAAGACCCAGCUGUCCUCCGUACUCGAAAAGGAGUUUUGAAUUUCAGAUUUGAAGUGGUAAGUCCGUUUUACCCCAAAACCUUUUGAGAAUUCCCCCGCCAUCCCCUGAUACGGAGCCUAUUUUCCCCCCUAUAAAUACCCCUCUUCUUCAUUCGUUUGGGGAGCAUUUUUUUUGGAGAGUUUCUGUGAUUUUUUUGGCUUGGAAUUUUCCGAACGUUUUUCCUAGUCAUAAGAUAUUGGGAGGAACAAAAGAUACAGAAUAAGAGAAUACUAAAACAGUAAGGUUGCAAGAUAUAAGGAGCGCAGGGACUCGUCGAAACCAUUAUUUUAUCUUUGUUUGGAAUCAGUCUUCCCUCCAAGUUGUCAAAGUCUAAGAUUCCGUUUGGUUGUUCUGUUUUCGAGCCUCUUUGGUUUGGCGGAGGUCACUGCUCACCAUCUCCAGUUCGCUGCCCUUUGAAGUGAGUUCGUUAAGAACUCGUUUUAUCCCUUGCAUUUCCGGAGAGCCAUGAAGGCUCAACUCCCUUCUAUCGAGUCAAUCCCAUCAAAAUCGACGGACAAGUCAAAAAGUUGGAAGAUUGAAGAAAUUGAAGAACUUGGGCGGAAGAAUUUCAAACAGAGAAUUGAAGCAGUAAAGUUAGAAGAUGGUGAAGAAAUUAGCGAAGAAAUUGCCACAAAUGCUUUGCGCACAUCUGUUAAUUUCUUCUCAGCUUUAAAGGCUACUGAUGGCCAUUGGCCUGCUGAAAAUGCCGGUCCUCUCUUCUUUCUUCCACCUCUCGUUAUGUGUUUGUAUAUAUCUGGGCAUCUUAUUUUUACCAGCUGAACAUCGUAAGGAAAUUCUCGCUAUAUAUAUUGUCACCAGUUAUAUGACGUAAUGUAACAAUGACUAUACUAUUCUAUCAAAAUUAAAUUUGCAUAUUUUUGAAUAAUUUAACUUACCUACAAUGAGAUGUGUUUAAAUUAAACUUUUUAGCUGGUUAUAGAUGCAUCUUAAUGUCAUCAUCUUAAGAUACCAUACACAGUGUACAACUCGUGGUGGAGUUACAAAUUUUAUUUAUGAUACUAAAA